rnacentral:rRNA from 1 species
UACACGCUGUGACUAGCAUAUCAAUAAGCGGAGGAAAAGAAACUAACAAGGAUUCCCCUAGUAACGGCGAGUGAAGCGGGAAGAGCUCAAAUUUGAAAUCUUAAAGGGUUUCCCUUUACGAAUUGUAGUUUAAAGAAGUGUUUUCUGUUGAGGUUUUGGCUAAAAGUUCUUUGGAAUAGGACAUCAUAGAGGGUGAGAAUCCCGUAUUUGACCUUUACUUUCAACUUUGUGAUACACUUUCAAAGAGUCGGAUUGUUUGGGAAUGCAGUCCAAAAUGGGUGGUAAAUUUCAUCUAAAGCUAAAUAUUGGCGAGAGACCGAUAGCGAACAAGUACCGUGAGGGAAAGAUGAAAAGAACUUUGAAAAGAGAGUUAAACAGUACGUGAAAUUGUCAAAAGGGAAGCGUUUGACACCAGUGUUGUUUUUCUGAAAAUCAAUUAAAGAACUGUUUAUGCUAAGCUGUUUAGACUUUAUCAGCUAUCUGUUUAGUUUUGAGCUUUUCUUUAAUGCACUUUUCAGUUAACAAGUCAACAUCAAUUUCUUUUGCUGUAAAAAAGCUUGAGGAAGGUGGCUUGAGAUUCGUCUUAAGUGUUUAUAGCCUCUUGCCUAUGCAGUCGGAGAGAUUGAGGUCUGCAGCGUAGAUCCUUCGGGGCUAAAUGCAUUUGUGCUAAGUUAUAGCAUUUUAUAGACAACUUGUUGACUAUGAUUUGUCUUGUAGCUUACUCGCUUAUGUUAUUUUACCUACGCUUAGGAUGUUGAAGUCAUCGUAUCGCGC